CAUGCAAGUCGACGGUGAGCCCAGCUUGCUGGGUGGAUCAGUGGCGAACGGGUGAGUAACACGUGAGCAACCUGCCCCUGACUCUGGGAUAAGCGCUGGAAACGGCGUCUAAUACUGGAUACGAGUAGCGACCGCAUGGUCAGUUACUGGAAAGAUUUAUUGGUUGGGGAUGGGCUCGCGGCCUAUCAGCUUGUUGGUGAGGUAAUGGCUCACCAAGGCGUCGACGGGUAGCCGGCCUGAGAGGGUGACCGGGCACACUGGGACUGAGACACGGCCCAGACUCCUACGGGAGGCAGCAGUGGGGAAUAUUGCACAAUGGGCGCAAGCCUGAUGCAGCAACGCCGCGUGAGGGAUGACGGCCUUCGGGUUGUAAACCUCUUUUAGCAGGGAAGAAGCGAAAGUGACGGUACCUGCAGAAAAAGCGCCGGCUAACUACGUGCCAGCAGCCGCGGUAAUACGUAGGGCGCAAGCGUUAUCCGGAAUUAUUGGGCGUAAAGAGCUCGUAGGCGGUUUGUCGCGUCUGCUGUGAAAUCCGGAGGCUCAACCUCCGGCCUGCAGUGGGUACGGGCAGACUAGAGUGCGGUAGGGGAGAUUGGAAUUCCUGGUGUAGCGGUGGAAUGCGCAGAUAUCAGGAGGAACACCGAUGGCGAAGGCAGAUCUCUGGGCCGUAACUGACGCUGAGGAGCGAAAGGGUGGGGAGCAAACAGGCUUAGAUACCCUGGUAGUCCACCCCGUAAACGUUUGGG
rnacentral:rRNA from 1 species